UACGUAGGGGGCUAGCGUUGUCCGGAAUCAUUGGGCGUAAAGAGCGUGUAGGCGGCUCGAUAAGUCCGCUGUGAAAGUCCAGGCUCAACCCUGGGAUGCCGGUGGAUACUGUCGGGCUCGAGUCCGGAAGAGGCGAGUGGAAUUCCCGGUGUAGCGGUGAAAUGCGCAGAUAUCAGGAGGAACACCUGCGGUGUAGACGGCUUUCUGGACCAUUGUUGACGCUGAGACACGAAAGCGUGGGUAGCAAACAGG
rnacentral:rRNA from 1 species